rnacentral:rRNA from 1 species
GAAUCUUCCGCAAUGGACGAAAGUCUGACGGAGCAACGCCGCGUGAGUGAUGAAGGUUUUCGGAUCGUAAAACUCUGUUGUUAGGGAAGAACAAGUAUCGUUCGAAUAGGGCGGUACCUUGACGGUACCUAACCAGAAAGCCACGGCUAACUACGUGCCAGCAGCCGCGGUAAUACGUAGGUGGCAAGCGUUGUCCGGAAUUAUUGGGCGUAAAGCGCGCGCAGGCGGUUUCUUAAGUCUGAUGUGAAAUCUUGCGGCUCAACCGCAAGCGGCCAUUGGAAACUGGGAGACUUGAGUGCAGAAGAGGAGAGUGGAAUUCCACGUGUAGCGGUGAAAUGCGUAGAGAUGUGGAGGAACACCAGUGGCGAAGGCGACUCUCUGGUCUGUAACUGACGCUGAGGCGCGAAAGCGUGGGGAGCGAACAGGAUUAGAUA